rnacentral:rRNA from 1 species
GGCUUAAGGUUNAAAAGGCCCCUUUANGNGGUUCCCCCCCNGGGGGGGNUUUCCCGNCCCGAACUCAGAGGAAUUGACGGGGGCCCGCACAAGCGGUGGAGCAUGUGGUUUAAUUCGAUGAUACGCGAGGACCCUUACCUGGGCUUAAAUGUAAGACGACAGUCUCUGAAAGAGAUUUUCCUUCGGGACGUCUUGCAAGGUGCUGCAUGGUUGUCGUCAGCUCGUGCCGUGAGGUGUCGGGUUAAGUCCCAUAACGAGCGCAACCCCUAUUCUUAGUUACCAUCAGGUAAUGCUGGGGACUAUAAGGAAACUGCCUACGCAAGUAGUGAGGAAGGUGGGGAUGACGUCAAAUCAGCACGGCCCUUAUGUCCAGGGCUACACACGUGCUACAAUGGCCGGUACAAAGAGCAGCUAACUAGUGAUAGUAUGCUAAUCUCUAAAGCCGGUCUCAGUUCGGAUUGAANUNUGCAAUUCGAUUUCAUGAAGCUGGAAUCGCUAGUAAUCGCGCAUCAGCAAUGGCGCGGUGAAUACGUUCCCGGGCCUUGUACACUCCGCCCGUCAAGCCA